AAAUUUUAUAUUGAAAAAAUUUUUUAUUAAAUUCCAAUACAAUUUAUAAAAAUAUUUUAAACUGAUUUUUAAAUAUUUCAUGAAAAAUAGUUAUAACUUUUCCUGAAUAUCUUUUAUAUAUUUUUAUGAUUAUAAGAGUGAAUUGUGACACAGGCUGCAAUAAAGAGCAUAUCUGGCCAUGAGUUUGAGACUACUACUCAGUCCAAUGUUUUUCAAUCUUUUUUUCCUGUGUCAUUCUCCUGAGUUCUUUUAUUUCUUGGCCACUCCAUUCAUUGCCACUGUUAGUUCAGUCUUUUACAUGUGGCUUCAUAGAAAUAUGGCCCAUGUUGAAAAUCAUUGCUGUAGUCUGCCUUUCAAGUCAUUCAAUAUGCCAAAAAGUUAUAGCAUGAAGGCAUUGACUAAAGAGUAUAAUAUGACUUACUAAAAUGUUUUAGUGUCUUUCAAUUGAUCCAUUCAUCCAGGGCUUUUAACUUCCAAUUAAAAUUUCAUUUGGUCAAAUUUUAAACAGAAGUCUAAUAUCCUAUGAUCUAAACCAGCAAUCACCAAACUUUUUUAAUUGUGCACCAUUUACAGUAAAGAAAAACAGCAUACAUUCAUACAAUGGACAAGAAUUAUGACAAGCAAAAAGUGCACACUCCUAAAAAUUUCUUACAUACUGUUUGGAUACAUAUAUCAUAGUUUGGGGACUGGUGAUCUAAAGUAUUAAUAAUGAUCAAUGUUGUGCCAUUAUCCAUUUGUCUCUCUGGUGCAGUUUGCCCUAGAUAAUUCUUGUUCUAAAAAAUAUCAAUCAACUAUUAGUUAUGGUUUGAUAAUGUUAAAUCCAGGAUUUAUAUAUAGAUUAAAAUCUAGUCUCAGUUAAUUUUUAUAUAGUAUUAUCCACUACUUAUUGGAACAAGGAAAUUUAUAUGCUAAAUGUGUAUAAGUAAUACAUUUAUAAAUUUCCAGAC
rnacentral:lncRNA from 1 species